GAUCCUGGCUUAGGAUGAACGCUAGCGACAGGCUUAACACAUGCAAGUCGAGGGGCAGCAUAGAAGUAGCAAUACUUGGUGGCGACCGGCGCACGGGUGAGUAACGCGUAUGCAACCUACCUAUCAGAGGGGAAUAACCCGGCGAAAGUCGGACUAAUACCGCAUAAAACAGGGGCACCGCAUGGUGAUAUUUGUUAAAGAAAUUCGCUGAUAGAUGGGCAUGCGUUCCAUUAGGUAGUUGGUGAGGUAACGGCUCACCAAGCCGACGAUGGAUAGGGGAACUGAGAGGUUGGUCCCCCACACUGGUACUGAGACACGGACCAGACUCCUACGGGAGGCAGCAGUGAGGAAUAUUGGUCAAUGGGCGGGAGCCUGAACCAGCCAAGUCGCGUGAAAGGAAGAAGGAUCUAUGGUUCGUAAACUUCUUUUGCAGGGGAAUAAAGUGCAGGACGUGUCCUGUUUUGUAUGUACCCUGAGAAUAAGGAUCGGCUAACUCCGUGCCAGCAGCAGC
rnacentral:rRNA from 1 species